GUGAAUCAUCAAAUUUUUGAACGCAAAUUGCACUCUCUUCUAAGAGUAUGCGUAUUUGAGGUUCAGCCUAAAAAAAAUCGACGUAGUUGCUGUUUAUCGGUAACAUUCUUCGGAAAGUGGUUCAUCUUAUACCUUUGGGUUUAAGCGGCUUAAAAUUAUCUUUACGAUUCCAAUAACGUUUCUAAGGUUUUAUUUUUUUAUAUUCUUAUUGUAUCAUUCUUUAGCAGACAUUGCCAUUGCAUCGUAUCU
rnacentral:misc_RNA from 1 species